rnacentral:rRNA from 1 species
GUAGGUGGCAAGCGUUGCCCGGAAUUAUUGGGGCGUAAAGCGCGCGCAGGCGGUUCUUUAAGUCUGAUGUGAAAGCCCACGGGCUCAACCGUGGAGGGUCAUUGGAAACUGGAGAACUUGAGUACAGAAGAGGAAAGCGGAAUUCCACGUGUAGCGGUGAAAUGCGUAGAGAUGUGGAGGAACACCAGUGGCGAAGGCGGCUUUCUGGUCUGUAACUGACGCUGAGGCGCGAAAGCGUGGGGAGCAAACAGGAUUAGAUACCCUGGUAGUCCACGCCGUAAACGAUGAGUGCUAAGUGUUAGGGGGUUUCCGCCCCUUAGUGCUGCAGCUAACGCAUUAAGCACUCCGCCUGGGGAGUGCGGCCGCAAGGCUG